CUUAAUCCAAUCCUGGACUUUUCAGACCAUUUCUCAAGUCUUGUUCUUUUCUCCUGGGGGGAUCUUCUAAAUGCCCCCAGCUGCAAAUGAACAAAUAGCAGUUCUCAAUUUUUCCCACCAAAAGGGAGACUCCAUCCACCUUUGACGUCACAGGGAGUCCCCAACCAAUGACAUCUCAGAUCCUAACUUGACCAUUCCUGAACCAAUCAGAGGAGGCAGCAGGUCUUCUGAAUGACUGCCAAAGGGGAUAAAAUGCUUUGCACUAUAUUGUGUGUUACUGGAGUGAUUACAUUAUGUUCUGACAUCCAACUGGCCAGAUGAAUCCUCUGUUACUGCCUUCAAAUCCAGGACCUGCAGGCUAUAAUGGAGAGGAAGGAAUGGGCAAAGCUAUGCAAUGGGAAUAGUGUACAGGCAGUCCCCAAGUAAAAAGAAGAUACUGAUUUAUAAAGAAGAAAUGAAGAGAUAUAUGACACCUGGCUUGAUAGCAGUACGUAUAAAAAGAAUUUAGGGGUCUUAGUAGACUACAAGUUGAAUAUGAGUCAACAGUAUGAUGUAGUAGCCAAAAAAGCCAAAGCGAUUCUAGACUGCAUCAAUAGGAGUGUAGUGUCUAGAUCAAGAGAAGUAAUAGUACCAUUCUAUCCAUCUUUGAUCAGACCUCACCAGGAAAUAUAUUGAAAAGCUGGAAGAUGUCUAAAGAAGAGAAGAGAAAUGAUCAAAGGUCUGGAAGCCAUGCUUUAGGGAUCAGGAUAUGUUUACAAUUUUUAAGUGAUAACUGAACUUUUAAAUAAACAUUUUAUAGGUAUAAGAAAGGCAUCACCUGAAUAUGGGUGAUUUUGUGUUGUGUGUGAACACUGCUACCUACUUUUUCAAUAGUUUGCAGAGACAUAAUAAAUCUCUUUCCCACACAUUCCUUUUAAAUGUUUCUAAAAAAAAUCCCUCCCCCAUUCUGAUAAGGGGAAUUUGUGUAAUCUGAUCCCAUUAGUGUGGCCCGUACCAGCCUACAGAAAAAUCCUGAAUGGAAUUAAUGCAAUGCACUAGCCAAGCAACUUUAGCUCAGGGGCUAACACGGUAUUUUUGUUCUUUCCCAGGCAAGGCUUAAGAAUCUUUGAUGUCACUGAGAAUAUUUAAAGCCUCUUUUAAUUUUAACUCCUGCUUUGCAGGAAGCGGGAUAUUAAUUCGUUAAACUGUCUGAGAUGCAUGUGAAUAUUUCUGGAAUGCUGGUCAUUGAGUGUGUGAAACAACUAGCAAUUUUGAUUUGCGAGUAAGACACCAAUGACUAAAGGAAGAAACUAAGGCUUCAUUGUAAGGAUUCCAUUAAAGUUGGGAAAUCUAUCUGAGGGGGCUAAGGUAUGGCAGAACUGGUUUCAGUUUUAGUCCAAUUGAGAUAAUAAGAAGGUGGGUGGAGAAGAGGUGGACAGAUCUUGACUGUACGUUUAUAUUUCAGAGAGACUGAGAUAGAGAUAAGGACAUUUUCAUACCCUUCAAUAUUUCACAUAUUAAAACUGGGACACAUAUAGCCAAGCAACAUUAGAGUGUGGUCAUUAUGAUAAAAGGUAUUAAUGGAAAAGCAAAGAGAGGCCACAGCAGUUUGCCUUUGCUUAGCCCACCUGGGAAGGUCACAAUUCUGCCUCCAUUUGAAGUGUCUAUGGAUGAAGGAGAAAAGUAAGAGGGGCCAGAACGUUGAACAUUUUAAAAAACAAGUAGAAUGAAUAUUUUGUUUGAUGCGGAUAAAUGAAACUCUACCAGUCCUGCAGAUAUGAAAGUCAUAUACAUGUACUUAGUGGAGGAAACUGAGGUUGUUUUGUGUAAAUUUAAAAUGACUUAUUAACUAUACCUCAUCAUCUUUCAGGAUUUCUGUUAUAUUCAGGAUAGGUGUUAGGAAAAGAUGUUUUCCAAGUCUUUCAAUAGAUCAGGUAUUUAUCAAGUCCUGACAAAAUGUUUUGGCAGUUUCCCCAGCAUAGUUGAAUAGCAUUGCUUCAAGAUGAAGUUGAACUGAUGUUCUAAUGUGCCCAUCUUUCAAUGUACUGUCUCUAGUUUAGGAAAAUUCCAGCAUGAGGCCAACUGUCCCAACUUGAGAAAGUUCCCUUUAAUCCUCUGCCACCCCACUCUUUCAGAUGCUUAUGAAAUGUCUCCAUCAUCUUUUUGCCUUUGCCGUCUUGACCACACUGAUCUUGUAUGUCCCAGUUUUAUCUGUGAAAUAUUGAAGGGUAUGUCUGCUGGCUGGUUUAUUUGUUUGUUACACCCAAACCCUGAUACUCUCUGGGUAUAACCCAGAAUAUCAAGACAGAAAAUCCCACAAUACCUGCUUUGAACUGGGUUAUGAGAGUCCACACUGCCAUAUAUUCCCGUUUAAAGCAAAACAUGUGGGAUUUUAUUCAGCUGUGUGGAAGGGGCCUGAGUAGCACACAGGAAAACUGAAACCAUAGAAUACAAAAUAGCAAAUGAUGAAUGAAAACAGCAUAUGGUAAAACCAAAACAACACAGUACAUUGCAUACAAUUCAAAGGAAAGAAAACAUUAGUAAAAAAAAAAGGUGACCAUUUGAAAGCACUAGAAUGUAUUUUCAAAAUGUCUAGAUUUACUUUGUGCUGAAAAGAUAAUUCCAUUGGCAUCAGGUAAACCUCUUUGGAAAAGGCAUUUCAUAGAAUAGAGAGGAAGUCACCAAAAAGCUGCUCUUCCUUAUAGCCAUCUGCUGUAUCCAAUUUGGCAGUAGCAUCUGAAAGACGGGAUUUGACCAAGACUUUAAGUAUAAAAUGUUUACUGAAUGAUUUAUUGAAUACCAGAGAUUGUAAGAAGGCAUUGAUACAUUAAAACAUCCCCCCCCCCCCCGCAAAUAAUCGUUACUGUUCCAUUAUCUGGGAAGAAGCCACAAGGAGGCACUAGAGAGAAGGAUAAUCCAUUUUAUGCGGGGAGUUGAAAGAGGAAAUCCAUUUCCCCCAUUUUCGUUGAUUAUUCCCUCUCCCCACUUCCCAUGUUAUAAACGAGGGUUUCUUCCACAACGGGAACAUGGGUGGGGGGAAUAACAGGAAAACAGAGGAAAAUAGUUUUCCUCCUUCAACUCACCCUCCACCCCUGUAAAAUGGACUAUCCUUCUCUCUCUAGCGCCCCUUGUGGCAUCAGACUGGGUAAUCCGACUGGGGGCCGGGCUGUGGCGCAGGCUGUUGAGCAGCUGCAAUAAAUCACUCUGACCAUGAGGUCAUGAGUUCGAGGCCAGCCCAUGGCGGGGUGAACUCCCGUCAAUUAAAAAUAAAAAAUAAAAAAUAGUUGCAUCUAUCAAGUAGUAAAUAAGGUACCACUUAUAAAACUGGGGAGGCAAGUUUAACUAAUUUACGACUUGGAAUGAGGAAGUGCCAUCACAGUGGAUGAUGAAGCAGCUGCUCCCCCCUGUGGCCAGAAUCGAACAUCCCCUCAGGAGAAGGUUAAAUUGCCUCUGUGUCUGUCUGUCUCGAUCUCUGUUUGACGUGUUUAUGGGCAUUGAAUGUUUGCCCUAUGUGUGUAUAAUGUGAUCUGCCCUGAGUCCGGGGUGAGAAGGGCGGAAUAUAAAUACUGUAAAAAUAAAUAAAUAAAUAAAUAAAUAAUCUAGUUGAACCAGUAUCUCUUUUUCUAGGAGACAGCCUUUCAAUUUGUCCAUUUCUCCUUAAUUCGUUCAUUGUGUUUUUAUUCUUUGGUGUAACACAACACCAACAAGAACAGGAGGCAGAGAGGGAGGGAAGGGCAGGAAGAUAAAGCCUGUGGCACAUUACCUUGUGGUUGAGAGAAAGAUGUGGCAAAGGAAAACCUGCAGAGUGGAAAGACGGGGAGGAAAGGAGUAGACAAAGAUGCAACUCACUGAGACCACAGUAUUACACAAUAGUAUUUCCUAUCCUAAUAUUUAUUUAAACCAGAAAUAUUUUAAUGACUUUUAAAUGAGUGGUUUAGGGCAGCCAACAGCAAAUGCUAAUGAUCAAACUUCUACAGAAACUGGGGUACAUUGAUCUGUGUGAGCAAGUAGUCUUGGCUUAUGAGAACUGCAGUGUGCCAAACAUGCCUCUAUUUUCAUCUGUGAAAUGUUUGAAAGUAGGCAUGCCGCAAAUAAUUUCUUAGCCUCUUAUGAAGUCACGCGAUUCCUUGUUGUUUUUGCUACCACAAAAUAAAGAGCUGCUUUUCUAAAAUAAAAUAUGUUUCAAAUCAACUCCUCUUUUAAGAAGCUGAAAAUAGUCAAAUUCUGUAUUCAUGUUUGUCCUUUUUGUAGUUUCCAGUUAGUAACAGGAAGGUAUUAAUUUCAUUUUGGUGUAAGACACCCCCUGGAUAAAUGUAUUCCUGCAAAUGCUUCAUUUGGAAGUACUAUUAUUUCCUUGCGUUAAUCAGUUUUGGAGGCUUCCCAAAGCUUUUACUCCUCUCUCAAAGCUUCAUUGUUUCACCAAAACCAUUCCAAGGGCUAGGAUUGCUUUUUCACAAUGUGCAUAACCUCAGUCAUGGUUGCUGUCUCCUGCCAAAAUGACUGUGUCACACUAGUGUUGACAGUCACAUAAAGUGAAACCACUUGGUUUAUUGAGGCGUGGACUUCAAAGCCAAGCUAAGACCCAUUGUACUAUUGCAGUGAAGUUUAAUUACAAGGAGGAGCUGAAGCUCAGUUUGGGUUUCGAUUGAAGCUCCAGGCCAAAAAUAUCCCACCAAAUCUAAAGUAGACACUGUCAUCUGAUGCCAACUCAGCACACUUGAAGUGGAGAGAAGAAAAGUCUGAAGCUCUGACAUCCACAUUUUGGGAGCAGUGAACAAACGUAUUGAUUGAUGCCUGGAAUAUGAUGGUAGCUCAAUACUUUUAAAAGAAAAGUUUGCUUUGCCUGAUUUUAUGAUAGCAGCCACAUAGGUAGGAUGGACUGGGGUGGACUGGGACCAUAGGUUAGCAGCUGACCAUGCCUUUCAGAACCCACUUGACCAGCAAUUCUCCUCCUGUAGUUCUUGCCAUGGAAGGAAGAAGAGGAGAGAAUGAGAAAUAUGGCAGCAACUCUGGGGCCUUUGCAUGGAGAGAGACAUGCUAUUCCUUUCUUUCUCACUCUGUUACAAUGAGGGUUCAGGGCUAGAGAGGCAGGUAUGUGUUAAUGAUGUGGGUGGAACCUCAAACACUUAAUUAUGGCUAUUAAAAUGUGAACUUUCCACACUUUGUGCUUCUAGGCCACCAGUCUAGAAGAUUCAUCACUGCAUAAAGAGCAAAGUGAAUUAAUUUUUUAAGCAACCAGUGGGCUUCUGAAAUCAUGGGCAUUGUGUGAUACUUACAACGCUUUGAAUUCAGAUUCUACAUAGGUAUUAACUCCAAACACUGCACAGGUGCAGAUAUACGUAGGUGCUACAUAUUUAUAGACUCUACAUUGUGACUGAUGUUGUGUGUUUUCAAGGUGUUUCUGACUCAUGCCAACCCUAAGGUUAACCUAUUACAGGCUUUCCUUGGCAAGAUUUCUUCAGAGUGGGUUUACUUUUGCCUUUUUCUGAGGCUUAGAAUGUGUGACAUGCACAUUGUCCCCCACUGUUGUUGUUGUUGUUGUUUUUUUUUUUUUUUGGCCAAGCAGGGAUUCAGUUUCCAGAGUCAUAAUCCAAUACUCAAACCACUAUAGAAUGUUGUCUGUCUCUCAGAGUGCAUCUUUGAAUGUGUGUGGUUGCAGGUCCAAAGAGCCCAUGACUUCCAGGGCUUGCAGCCGAGCUCUGAGUGCCAAAUGCCUAGUAAGAGGCGCUCUGCGCUCUGCUCAGCGCUCGGCACUCAGCUGCAAGCCCUGGCAGUCAGGCGCUUUGGGCCUGCAGGUCACACACAUACUCUCUUAAAGAGAGUCUAUUUCCAAGUUACUGGAUGUUGAAAAGUACAGGGGGGGCCUUGCUACCCAUUUAAAAAGAUAAUGGAGCCUGAAGAAGAGCCAAGGGCUGCAAAAACAGCAUCAAUGAGCCACAGACUGCAUUUUGCCUAUCUGGAUUCAGAGACAGGGGUUUAUCCCACCAAUUCUAACAACUCAAAUGAAUGCUGGAGAGAGUCUGAGGAUCAGUGAAAUGGUGAGACCCUCUAGCCCUAAAACUGAGGGGAAGGGGAGCAUAGGAAGCCUGCCCAUUGCCGCCAAUGGGAUGAAAAUUAGGCGACCAAACGGGUACCGUUCCCACUUUCCUUUCAUUUCACUGCUUUUUCCAUUUGGCAAGUGGUCUCCUGUAUCAUGCCAAACGAAUGAACGGCGCAAAACAAAAACACAGAUGAAACAAAUGAGGCAAAAUUCGGGCCCAUUUACUGUUCCCUACCUCACCAAACUAUGACUCCCCUAACUCCAUAUUAUUGAGCCAUGGCAGUUACAGUGUCAAAUAGCAUUAAUUCUCCAGUAUAGAUGCAUCUACUCUACAAAAGUAAUAUAAGCCUAGGGUGUAUCUGCAUUUUGGAUUUAAUGCAAUUUGUCAAUUCUUAAAUUAGGUAAGCAGGGCUGGCUUGCAGUUUUAAAUACAUUUACUAAACAAUACAUUUAGGAAAUGUGCUCAUUGGGUUUGACUUUUCAGAAAACACAUACAGGAUUUUUCUGAAAGUUUAUUAAAGGUAAAGGUAAAGGUUUUCCCCUGACGUUAAGUUCAGUCGUGACCGACUCUGGGGGUUGGUGCUCAUCUCCAUUUCUAAGCUGAAGAACCGGCGUUGUCCGUAGACACCUCCAAGGUCAU